rnacentral:rRNA from 1 species
GAUCCUGGCUCAGGACGAACGCUGGCGGCGUGCCUAACACAUGCAAGUCGAACGGAACUUACCGAAUGAAGUCUUCGGAUGGAUUUUGAUAAGUUUAGUGGCGGACGGGUGAGUAACGCGUGAGUAACCUGCCUUCAAGAGGGGAAUAACGUUCUGAAAAGAACGCUAAUACCGCAUAACAUACGGAUGUCGCAUGGCAACCGUAUCAAAGAUUUUAUCGCUUGAAGAUGGACUCGCGUCCGAUUAGCCAGG